UCCGCUUCAGAAGCGGUUUCCACCUGCUGCCGACACUUGGCGAGCCCCGAAUCCAAACAGAGCAAACGCACACACCUUGAACCGGCUUCGCCACGAAAAAAGGGCGAACCAGCGCUCUGCUCUUUUCACGCGCGCGCCGAUGUAAGAGCUUGGAUAACGGAUCGAAAAUUGGGCAACGAAAUUGUGCGUGGAUACAUAUUUUAAUUCGAGUUUCCUUUGAAUUUUUGACGGUCGUUAAAAGAAAAGAAACAGGGAUAUAAGUAAAUAGAAAAUAUUGAAUGGAUGGGCAAAUAUCGGACGUCGAAAUUAUGUGUUUAUCGAGUAAUAGGUAUUUAAAUUGAAUUUCGAUUCCAAUCGACCAAAGUUCGGACAAAGUUUUCUUCGUAUCUUGUCAAACAUAGAGAAAAGACAAUAUAUGUAAACUUUUCGUAGAUCAAACAAUAGGAUCCAAACUGUGCAUUUAUAUUGAAAUCCUCGAAUCGAAUAAACUUUGAAAUUUCUUUUGUAUUUCGUCACUUGAAAAAAAAAAUUAUAUACCAUCAUGUUCUACAAACACGUCAACAUUUAAAACCAGGAUAUUCAAAUUAAGUGAAUUUCUCAUAAGAUAAUAUAUGAACACUUGUGAUUGAAUGUAUAUAUACAUAUAUUUUAAAUCUUUUCACAUUCCAUUGCUAUUUGUAACCGAUAUCAGCAAUUUUUCUCCAAUUUAUCGAAUCUUUCAUCGAUCAAUUCAAAUGUUUCUCAAUCCUAUCGCUACUCGUAACCGUCUAUCGCCACCUUUUCGUUUCCAAGUUUAUCAAACGUUUCGUCGAUCGAUUCAAAUAUUGUUCAAACAUGUCCCCGCUCGAUCCCAUCGCUACUUGUAACCGAUAAUCGCCGAGACUGUGCGAAUCGCGAGUCCAUCGAAAUUUUCAUCGGCCAAUCAAAUCAUCGCGCGCUGCUAACGUAUCUGCCAUCGUUACUCGCGAGCGACAAUAUUUUUACCACCUUCUAAGCAAACGCUACCUCGUCUCUUUAGCGCGCUCAUCUACGAAUCUUCUUUAUAAUUAUCACGUUAGGAAGAUAUAACCGGUUUCCCCCUCCCCCCCGAUAUUCCGUACGAACAAUGAGUAUUUGUAUUUUCGUUCCUCUUUAUUUCCUUAUCCCGAGUUGUGCACGCAUGAAAAAAGUGUUUCUUAAAAAAAAAAAAAAAAAAAAAAGGCCGACGUUUCUGCGGUCUCGUUGCUUAGAAUAAACACCGAGAUAAUGUUAUCGCGUUUGGAAACACGAAUCGCAUUGUCCGUAGUGACGUUUGGUCAUUCAACAGUUUGUAAUUAAUUGCAUCAAUUACAGUGGCCUAUGCGUGUAUACACGUUUUUAUAGUUUAGACUGUUAUUACCGUCUGUAGAUAGCGUCUCGUUAUGCGCGAUGAAUUAUUGCUUUUAAUCUGUCCCGCGUAUUUCAUAUGCGAUCGUCGAAAAUAAACUCGAAAUAUAAUUUGUAGCCGCCGUAUAAAUAUCAUUGCAAUUAUAUUUAUACAUCGAAUCGAAUUUUUAUCUCCAGCUCCGUUGCUCCAUUUUUCGUUCCGUUUUUUAUUACUUCGUUCGAUUACUUCGAUCGAUUGCCAAUCAUUUUUAAUCGUGCAUGGGAAUUCGUUUCGCGGGAAAGAAAAAAAAAAAAGAAACGAUUUUUUCUCUCUCUCUUCCCCUCCCGUCCGAUUUUCGCGACGAAAAUUUCGAGAGUCGGGCAAACCGAUGUCUCGAAAAACGAAUCGUCACUGUCGUAUUCUCGCCCAGUGAUUCACAAUUUAUAAAUAAUAGCCGUAUAACGGAUAAAAUUUUGAUUAUUUCGAGCUUCAAAAUGUGUCAAAAGCAAAUUUGAGGGAGAGCGCAGUGAUGUUGAAAAAAGAAAGAAAGAAAGAAACGCGGCUAGUGAUUUAAUUUUUCUAGUGAUAAAUCGUCCUCUCGAAAGAUUUAUACGAACGACAAUUUACGGAUUAAUCCACGCGAUUUUUCUCGAUGUCCGUAUCUCGAUUUGAGAAGAGAAUAAAUUUCGUGAAAAUUUGAAAUCUAUCUGGUUUUUUUUUUAACCGAAAAUAUUUUUUUUGAAACAAUAAUUUCAGAGAUAACUAACGUCCAAAGAUUAGACGUGUUGGAUUGACGUAAAAGUUUUUUUUUUUCUUUUUUCUUUUGACAAAUAACCAGAUGGAUUAUUAGAUGGAUGGAUGGAUCGUUAAUAAUAUUCAAAAAAUUGUCGAUACCGGCUGAAAAAUUGAAAUAAAAAUAAGAAUAAUUUUGCAUUUUUAUCGCCCAAGUAAAAUAUAUAAAAUAUGUGAAAACAUAAUUAUCGUUAACAGUUGGCAUUAUCGUUACGUAAAAAUGAGCUUUAAAUGGCAUAAACGCAAUUAAGGAGUUUAUCGAAUUCCUUAAGACUUAAGUAUCGUAUUAAUUGAAAAUAUUUUCUCUGUGGCAAAUUAUUAAAGAAUUUUUUAUGCCUCCAAAUAAAAAAAAAUCGAUCCGAUCGAUUUUCCACAAUUUCAUUAAAAAAAAAGAACUCUCAUUCGUCAAGUUUAUCAUUAUUUAAUUAUUCAAGAAAUAUGCUUUUUCUAAUAAGCUCCAACAAUUGUAAAUCUUUCUAGCAUACGUGUAUAUAUAAAAUUCCGCACCAAUUAGUUGCACCGCAGUCCGCUCGUUUCUCGUCGAAUUUUCUUGACGACAAAUUAACGACAUCAGGCUUCAAUCUGUCGAAGAUAUUAAAUUCGAUCGAUAACAUCUUUCCUUUCCUAUUUCUAAAUUAAAAAGUCGUUGUACUAAUGUGUUAUAAAAUAAUUUACAUUUUUUUCGUGAAAUAUAUAUAUAUAUAUAUAUGUGUGUGUGUGUGUGUGUGUGUGUGUGUGGUUAAGAAGAGAGGAAGGAAUGCGAAUUGAAAGUUAUUCGAUAAAACGCACCAGAAUUCCACGAUUCGAGGAUAAAUUAAUUUAAACGAGGUGUCUUUAUCAAAUUUUCUACGUGUAUUUACAUAUAAUUUAUACUUUUUAAUACGAUGUAAUGCUCGAGAAGUGUUUCUAGAAAAGAAAUCAAUACAACGAUUACAUAACCUCAAAAAUUGCAGCGUAACUGUAUAAUAAUUUAUUCGGUAAACAGGUUGGGCAAUCAAUUUCCGGUUGGAAAGUAUUAAAAGGGCAUGAAACGAUCGGCUCGUUUAUAAUCAAAUCAAAUUAUAAAGAGACGUUAGUUCUGGUGUUGUCAACACUGCAAGAAAGAAAAAACGUGUAAACGAUAUUAUUAAUAUACGGGUUGGUAUUCAAACUCGAAUGCAUACUUGUCGAUGCCAGUCGACUUUAAUGUUAGCGUGGGUGGUCACAGGUGAACGUAUGAAAUUGAUAAUUGUUAAGUGACGUGAAUUCUUAACUCGGUCGUGAGCAUAGUUAACAUGUGACAUGCUUCUGAAGACAAUGUACAAUACCUAUUGAUCCUUCAACUCAUCUCUCGUCGAAUUAAAUACUAUCGAUAUUACGUGAUAUCCUAAAAGGACAUACCUCAAAGGACACUUGAACAUCUAUUAUUAUUUCAAGCCUUUGUUUCAAAUAUGAUUAAUUAUAUACAGAGUGUUAAUAUAUUCGUGGUACACCUUCGAAAGGAACACAAAUGUCGGUAUAGAGAGAGAAAAAAAAAAUGGAAAAAAAUUGAACGGUCGAACGACAAAGUUGAUUUUUAUCGCCUAUGAUAAUUCUGGAAUCCUCGAUUUGCUGGCGAAACGGACGAUUCGAUCUGCUAUUACAGAGGCAAAUAGAAACGGUGUAUCUAUAAAUAAUCGAGUGGCUAUAACGGGAUAUAUAAUAACAGGGCCUCGAAUUAUUCAAGUACCGAGAGCAUAAUUAUCCAAUCGUUUGACUCCGGCUCCAUUCAAAGUCACCGGAGCAGCACGACAAGCAAUAACUUUUAGAUCCUGUGCCACGACGCCCCAUAUUUUACGAUUACAACGUCCACGUAGGUGAACGUGAUUGUCUGCGGCGAUGUUAUUUCAUAGUAGUCUGAUACACUAUAUAACGAACGAGGCAACGAGAGUUUCGAGCCGAUGCUGAUUUACCGACCUGGCAAUAGUUUCGUUUUGGUAAAGGAUUUUAAUACUUUCUUAAUUCAAAAUACAAACUGUAUUUGACAGUCGUCAUUUUCUCAAAGGAUAAAGUUAAUCUUCAUGGAUUCUUUUUCUUCGUUUUUUUAUUUUAUUAACAAUUUAUUAAAUCUUUCAAUUUUUUCAUCUUACAUAUAUUAUUUUGUUAAAAGUUAUCAACAUCACCUAAAUUCUUCCACCUAACCUCUUUUUCGAUCAUCCUCUCUCCGAAAGGCUGCAACCUGCGCAAAUUCACAACGCGCAACUACACAUGCGCACUGUUCGUUGUUCAGCGCAACGAUAGCAGCGCUCGAAUCGAACGAAACGAACGAUACGGAUAACUAAUAAGUUUUCGUUUCCUUUUCCUAUCUUCCCUUCUUCCCUCUCACUCCUCCCAAAGAAAAAAAGAAAAAAGAAGACGGUGGCGUGCGUUACACAAGAACGAUAAGAAGGAGAAAACGCUUGGUGCAAAGCGCGUGCACAACUCGAAGGGGCAUGUCCUUCGGCGUAAAAGUCCUGGCCCAUGGGCCCAACGACCGUGUGUCGUUAUCGGGCCUGCUUACGCCACAUUUCACUCGAGUCUCUGCUCCAGUCCUCGACUAUAGUGUAUAUACAUACAUAUAUAUAUAUAUAAGCAUUCGAUGCUUUUUUUUACUUGGAACGACGUGAACCAGAUCUUUUUGCGGCGAACUCGCUGUAACGUUAACUCUUAAACGGCGGCCAACGCCUCGCCACUUUCUGCGCUCGCCUGGCCAUUUGCGGCGGCUUUGCCAUGUCAAUGCAAAUGUUCUUCCUGACAAUGUAACGACGCCGUGGAAGUACUACUAUGGGAAAAGUUUAUCCCGGGAUUCAUGGCAUGAGAAAAUACGUGUCGCCUCGCCUCCGCAACACGAAUUCUUCGUCGAUCCUUGAAGAUUAACAAACUAAAGAUCGAAACGGAGACGAUGAAUUAUUACGGAUGUUUGGAAUUCAAUUUUUGGAACGACGAGAAAUAUUAUUUCGAAACGUUUUUAUGGAAGAUGAUCGUUACUUUUUUUUCUUUUUUGACCAAUAAAGUCGAUCCAAAUGGAGAGAAGAUGGAUUGUAUUGUGUAUACGUUUGUUAUAAAAAAUAAUGGAUCCAAAUGGAGAAGAUGGAUCAUCGUAAUCGGCAAUUUGGAAUUCAAUUUUUGGAAAUGGCGAGUUUCUUUUGUCAUUUUUCUCUUUUCCUUUUAUUCGACCGUACCCGAAUGUAAUAAUUGUGAACGUAUUCAAUAUCCAUCGUUCGCAACGUUCUGGAAACAAAUGGAGGGCAAACUCGCAUUAGGCUCGUGCAUAUAUCGGGCAACUUUCAUCCGGGCAUUUUUAUUCGACCUGCGGACAGCGUCACGGAGUGACCGCGUACAUCGAACAAAACGAUUUCACGAGCAGAAGCUGGUGAAAUGGAAAAUCAUUCUCGUUUUCUUUCGCCUAGUUUUCUUCUCCUUUUUUCGAUGAAAUACGAGCAACUCGUGAAACCUUAACGAUCGUUGCGCAACCGCACAAUUAUCGCGUGCUCAGACUGUCGGCAAUUCCUGACUUACACACAUUUUGUGCCUCGUUGCCGUGGCAAAAAAGACAGAGAGAGAGAGAGAGAAAAGGAACGUGGUUAAUCGUAAUAAUUAUUUCAACCUGUUGUCAACCGCCAGUCCAUUGUAUACGAGCGAAGAAUAUCUUGGAAUAUUUUUAUCCUAUUCCAAUAAUUCGAAACAAAGUUUCUAAAGUAACGGAUUGUUGAAAUUCCGAAACCACAAUUGUGAUGUUUAAACGAAACGAGGUUAUUCGAGUUAAAUCAUUUAAAUCUCUAUAAACAAUACUGCGUAACUUUCACGUUUCUAAUUAUUCCCAUUCCUUUCGAUUUGCUCGAAACAUAACCUAACUUUUUCCCGCUCGAUCGCGCGAUUCUCCGACUCGUUCCUUUCCAUUUAUCCCAGCCAUAACCUAACUUUUUCGCGCCCGCUCGCGUGAUUUUCACAUUUCUCAACUCAUUCCUUUCCAUUUAUCCCGAGCACACUCCAACACUUUUCUUCGAUCGCGUGAUUUUCGCGUUUCCAAUUAUUCCUUUCGAUAUAUUCGAGUUAUAACCUAACUUUUUCGACGAAACGGAUACGAAACAUAACCUAACUUUUCCUCGACAUCGAAAAAUGGAAACUAACUUUUUCGCGGCCAAUCCAGCGCUGGAAAAAAGUAAUCUCUCGAAAGCACGAAAUCACGAAAUCACGAUUGUCCAUUUUUUUCUCGCGUUUUCCACGACGCGCCAAUUCGUAUCUCGUUCGAUUAUCGGUCGAUGAAUUUCCUUCGAAUGAUCCUUUUUUUUCGGGGCAGGAAAUCUAAAGAGUCGAAAAAAAGGAGAGAGGAGUGAAAGUUCAAGAUUAAAAGAUUACGCGAGAAAUCGCGAAACAGGGAGUACAAUCGUUUUUUGAUCGUUACGUGAGCAUCGUUCGCUCGGAAUUCAUUUCGAGGAAAGUUUUAACGAACCGGAACCAUAAACGGAGAGUCGAUGCUGCUCCACUCGUUGUUAAAUUUACGAUAUAAUUACGAUCACUUUGAAAAAGAUAGCGAAACCGGUUUUUCUCCUUUUUUUUUUUCCCCCUUUCUUUUAUUAUUUUCGUUUCUUUUUUUUCUUUUUUCCAGAUUAUUCACCCGAUUGCUCGAACGACGAUCCCGAUUUUUCUCUUUCUUUCCUUUUUCCGCCACAGAUCGAUAAUUUCGCCUCUCGUUAUUGGUCGACGCGAUUCAAUUCGAUCCAAUACAUUCCUCCUUUUGUUUCAGAUUACCAUGCUUACGAUGGAGGAUAAAAGGUGAUUAAAAUGGGUGAUUAAAAUAGGUGUUUUUAAUACUAGAACCUGUAAUAUCGAUUUAUUCGUUUUAACAUACAAAUGGUCGCUGUAUCGUGAAGAUGUAAGUAGAUAUAAGUUUAAAUACUAAAAACUACGAUAUUAAUCGAAAUAUAUUUUCAUAUAAGAUGAAACAAUCAAAAUCAUUGUCUCCAUUAUUGUUCUAGCGUUCUAAAAUCCUUGAAACAUGAUUAAUGAUGAGUCAAUAAAAGGAAAAAUAUUAUGAAAUUGUGAAAAUUGGAAAGAAAGGGAGUAAUUAUUAGAAAAUAUAUUUUCCAUAUUUAAUUAUACCAUUAUUUUUCAAUCUCCUGCGCGCAAAAAUCUGUUUACCUGCUCUCCAACGAAACCAUCGUCACACGAGAGGAAGUAUUAUGCGACAGGAGGAGGAGGACAUGUUUUUACGUAACGAAAUAAUCGUCGCGCAUUUCAUAACCGCGCUUAUUAAUAUCCAUUGUGUGCCCUUUUUCUUCUACAAAAAAGAAAAGAAAAAAAGAAACGCUUUGCAGCAAAAAAGCUUAAUUCGCACUGCAGCGAAUUAGAAAGCGACAAUGCAAAAGUAUUUCUCUCGAUUCCUUCUUCUUCUUCUUCCCUUUCUCGAGCAAGAGAGACAAAAUAUUUGGGGCUACCGGCGUUACGCGAGGCAUUCGCAUAAAAUUAUCAUAUUCGAUUUAAACGGACUUAACGAACAACCAAGAAAGUUGCAUUCCCCCGGUGUCCGGUUGAAUAAAUUAAGGAGGCGUGGUUGUCGAGAGCCGUUCGUCUCGAAUCGAUGAUUCACGAUAAUGUCGAGCGUAAUUUCUCUUAUUUUUCCUCCUCCUCCUCCUCCACUUCUUCCUCUUUUUGCCUCUCGCUCCGAUACUCGAGCAGGUUAAACGCUCUCUCUCUCUCACUCCACCGUCUGUUAAACACUUGGAGAUAGAUUCAUUUUGUGUAGUGAUGUGUAUAUAUGUAUAUGUAUAUGUAUACUCGGUGUAUAUACACGUAUGUUGGUUAGUGACAGGAAUAUUUUCCGAAGUUGAAUAAUACUCGAGGUUGAUCGAGGUAAUUCAAUCGAGGUGUUUUUUCUUUUUUUUUUUUUUUUUUUUCUCUCCAUUUUUAUUACGAGGAGAAAUAUCUUUGAGAUAUUUGCGGAUAUUAUUAUCGUACGAGUAUAUAAAUAUCACUUUGAGGAAAAAUUCUAAAAUUUCUUUAAUUGCGAAUUACGUUUAAUUUAUAUGGGUUUU
rnacentral:lncRNA from 1 species